UAAUUUUUGUAUUUUUAGUAGAGAUGGGGUUUCACCAUGUUUGCCAGGAUGGUCUCUAUCUCCUGCCCUUGUGAUCCACCCACCUCAGCCUCCCAAAGUGCUGGGAUUGCAGGUGCGAGCCACCGGGUCCAGCCUCUCAGGCGAUUUUCAUACCUGCAUACUCUGGUCACUACUCUGUUAAACAGUCAAGGAGGCUGAGUGCCACGUGCUGACGUCACUAAGAUCAAUACAGCAAACUCUGAAAGAUGGACAGAGAGACAGGAGAUGGUCCUUUAUAAUGCAGUGUGAUCUGUGCUGCAAUAGAGAUGGAAGAGUGUUCUGAUCGGCUGGAAAACAACGCACAUGGGAAGCUGUACAGAAAUGAGUGGGGAAAGUUUUGGAAGC
rnacentral:lncRNA from 1 species